AGCUUUGCACAGUGGCAGUAUCGUAGCCAAUGAGGUUUAUCCGAGGCACGAUUAUUGCUAAUUAGAAGCCAUUCCCCUUCCCC
rnacentral:snRNA from 1 species